rnacentral:rRNA from 1 species
AUUGAACGCUGGCGGCAUGCCUUACACAUGCAAGUCGAACGGUAACAGGUCUUCGGAUGCUGACGAGUGGCGAACGGGUGAGUAAUACAUCGGAACGUGCCUAGUAGUGGGGGAUAACUACUCGAAAGAGUGGCUAAUACCGCAUGAGAUCUACGGAUGAAAGCAGGGGAUCGCAAGACCUUGUGCUACUAGAGCGGCCGAUGGCAGAUUAGGGAGUUGGUGGGAUAAAAGCUUACCAAGCCGACGAUCUGUAGCUGGUCUGAGAGGGCGAUCAGCCACACUGGGACUGAGACACGGCCCAGACUCCUACGGGAGGCAGCAGUGGGGAAUUUUGGACAAUGGGCGCAAGCCUGAUCCAGCAAUGCCGCGUGCAGGAUGAAGGCCUUCGGGUUGUAAACUGCUUUUGUACGGAACGAAAAGCCCCGGGUUAAUACCCUGGGGUCAUGACGGUACCGUAAGAAUAAGCACCGGCUAACUUCGUGCCAGCCGCCGCAGUAA